rnacentral:rRNA from 1 species
UCAGUAGCGGCGAAGUGAAGCGGCAAAAGCUCAAAUUUGAAAUCUGGCGUCUUUGGCGUCCGAGUUGUAAUUUGAAGAAGGUAUCUUUGGGCCCGGCUCUUGUCUAUGUUCCUUGGAACAGGACGUCACAGAGGGUGAGAAUCCCGUGCGAUGAGAUGACCCGGGUCUGUGUAAAGUUCCUUCGACGAGUCGAGUUGUUUGGGAAUGCAGCUCUAAGUGGGUGGUAAAUUCCAUCUAAAGCUAAAUAUUGGCGAGAGACCGAUAGCGAACAAGUACAGUGAUGGAAAGAUGAAAAGAACUUUGAAAAGAGAGUGAAAAAGUACGUGAAAUUGUUGAAAGGGAAGGGCUUGAGAUCAGACUUGGUAUUUUGCAUGCUGCUCUCUCGGGGGCGGCCGCUGCGGUUUACCGGGCCAGCAUCGGUUUGGAGCGGCAGGAUAAUGGCGGAGGAAUGUGGCACGGCUUCUGCUGUGUGUUAUAGCCUCUGACGAUACUGCCAGCCUAGACCGAGGACUGCGGUUUUUAACCUAGGAUGUUGGCAUAAUGAUCUUAAGUCGCCCGUCUUGAAACACGGACCAAGGAGUCUAACGUCUAUGCGAGUGUUUGGGUGUAAAACCCGUACGCGUAAUGAAAGUGAACGAAGGUGGGGGCCCAUUAGGGUGCACCAUCGACCGAUCCUGAUGUGUUCGGAUGGAUUUGAGUAAGAGCAUAGCUGUUGGGACCCGAAAGAUGGUGAACUAUGCCUGAAUAGGGUGAAGCCAGAGGAAACUCUGGUGGAGGCUCGUAGCGGUUCUGACGUGCAAAUCGAUCGUC